UUAGUGCUACCGCAGAAAAGGGCCUUUUUGAGUCUAUUCGACGUCGAUUCACUUAAUUGUGUGUCACGUUCGAGAGCCACUUUCACUUUGGAGAAAUCAGUGUGCUCAUAACAGGCUUAUGCCUGUAUAUAACUGCAUGGGAUGAUGAAAUUGGGCCUUUGACUCGUUUCGUUGGUUUUCGAUUGCAAAGGUUAUGAUUAAUCGGGACAGACGGGGGCAUUCGUAUUGCGUCGAUAGAAGUGAAAUUCGGUGACCGACGUAAGACGAACAAUCGCGAAAGCAUUUGCCAAGAAUGUUUUCAUUAAUCAAGAACGAAAGUUAGAGUAUCGAAGACGAUUAGAUACCGUCCUAGUUCUAACUGUAAACGAUGCCAACCAGGGUUUUGUCAUAGCUCAUAUGCUUGACGAGCACCCUCCGGGAAACCUGAGUAAUCGGGUUCCGGGGGGAGUAUGGUUGCAGAAUCGAAACUUAAAGGAAUUGACGGAAGGGCACACCAGGAGUGGAGCCUGCGGCUUAAUUUGACUCAACGCACGAUAGCCGACUCGGUCCGGACACUUGAAGGAUUGACAGACUGAAAGCUCUUUCUUGAUUCAGUGGGUAGCGGUGCAUGGCCGUUCGUUGUUGGUGAAGUGAUUUGUCUGGUUUAUUCCGAUAACGAACGAGACUCUGGCCUAUUAACUAGCGUAACGUUUUUUACGUUAUUAAUUGGCUUCUUAAAGGGACAAGUGCUUUCGAAGCACGCGAAAAAGAGCAAUAACAGGUCUGUGAUGCCCUUCGAUGUUCGAGGCUGCACGCGCGCUACAAUGGAGAGCCUAGAGCGUACCAUGCGUUUUGAUAAAAAUGCAGAACCGUGAGAGGCCUCCGUUACUGGGAUCGGAGCUUGAAAUUAUUCCUCGUCAACGAGGAAUUCUAGUAAGCACGAGUCA
rnacentral:rRNA from 1 species